UUAGUUUCUUCCUAAAGAAACCAAUUUUGAGCACAUUUGAUUUUACUUUUGUGAUAAAAUAAAAGAUGAUACCUUAAAUUGGAGUAUUUAAGACAUUGGGUAUACUAUUUACUUUUCAGAAUUAAAUUAUACCCAAUUUAAAUGCAAAACAUCUUAUAGAAAUUAUAAACACAUGUGUACUAAUAUUAGAAGCAGUCACCAUCUGCACAACUGACUGGGAGCCGUAAGGCGUGAUUUCUAACUUUGGCCAUGGCUCAUUAAACAAGCGCUCCAAUGCCAACACAGACGGUUUCACAUUCUCUUGAGCCAGCAGUUAGACAUUGAAAGAUAACCGUGUAGGAGUCAAACCAACACCUGAAUGUGGAGGGUUUGUUUUUCUCUUCUAAGGUCCAAAGAAAGUUUCCACAGGUUUCUACCAUCUCACAUAAACUGAUGCGUGUGUUCUCACUCGAGCAGCCUAUACCAUUCAAUCCGGAUCUUCCUAAGACCUAAUUGGGGACUCAAAUCUAUGUGCCUCAAAGAGCUGUCCUGUCUGCUGAAUGCUUUUAGAGAAGGAUAGAACAAAGAAAAGUAAGCAAAAUGCCACAAAGUGUGUGUGAAACUUUCGGCACCUAAAAGUCGAUAACCCCACAGCAGAGGCUGAUUCGACUCUUCCUUUCUUUUCCUCCGUCCUGCUCUUCACACAGGGGGUGGCUGCUGCUUUUCUGCAGGUUAAUAUAGUAACAGGAGGAAAAAAGUCACGCAAGUCCUGUCUGUCUGAUUCAGAAGAGUCUCCUACGUCUGCU